UACAGAGGGGGCAAGCGUUGUUCGGAAUUACUGGGCGUAAAGGGCGCGUAGGCGGCCUGCUAAGUCGAACGUGAAAUCCCUGGGCUCAACCCAGGAACUGCGUCCGAUACUGGUUGGCUUGAAUCCGGGAGAGGGAUGUGGAAUUCCAGGUGUAGCGGUGAAAUGCGUAGAUAUCUGGAGGAACACCGGUGGCGAAGGCGACAUCCUGGACCGGUAUUGACGCUGAGGCGCGAAAGCCAGGGGACCAAACGGG
rnacentral:rRNA from 1 species